CACAUCUGAUGGUCUCAUCUUUCCAAGGCAGUGGCCCCUCAGGAAAUCUUCACCACGGAAGAGGAGCCCAGACUCCGAGGAUCUCCUGGAUGAAUCACAAUUGAUGCCUCCCUUCUCAGCUGGAUCRCCUUGCUUCCUUCAAGAAAAAAAGGGGUGGAAAGAGCCCACAGGAACUGAAAAGCAUUUGAAACUAAAGAGGCCAAGUAACAAAGAGCUUGAAGACAAGCACAGUUCUCAGGCCCUGGAUAGAGGCUGGCAGCGUCAGACCGACAGAACCAAGACGUCGUCCGAGGGGCAACGCUUGUGGCUGCGGAGCACAGGUAGGAACCUGGGUGCUGAUGACCACGGAGGCUCUUGGGGAAGAGAGG
rnacentral:lncRNA from 1 species